AUUGAACGCUGGCGGCAUGCCUUACACAUGCAAGUCGAACGGUAACAGGUCUUCGGAUGCUGACGAGUGGCGAACGGGUGAGUAAUACAUCGGAACGUGCCUAGUAGUGGGGGAUAACUACUCGAAAGAGUGGCUAAUACCGCAUGAGAUCUACGGAUGAAAGCAGGGGAUCGCAAGACCUUGUGCUACUAGAGCGGCCGAUGGCAGAUUAGGUAGUUGGUGGGAUAAAAGCUUACCAAGCCGGCGAUCUGUAGCUGGUCUGAGAGGACGAUCAGCCACACUGGGACUGAGACACGGCCCAGACUCCUACGGGAGGCAGCAGUGGGGAAUUUUGGACAAUGGGCGCAAGCCUGAUCCAGCAAUGCCGCGUGCAGGAUGAAGGCCUUCGGGUCGUAAACUGCUUUUGUACGGAACGAAAAGCCCCGGGUUAAUACCCUGGGGUCAUGACGGUACCGUAAGAAUAAGCACCGGCUAACUACGUGCCAGCCGCCGCAGUAA
rnacentral:rRNA from 1 species